GUCCACGCCCUAAACGAUGUCUACUAGUUGUUGGGAGGGGAGACCCUCUUAGUAACGCAGCUAACGCGUGAAGUAGACCGCCUGGGGAGUACGGUCGCAAGAUUAAAACUCAAAGGAAUUGACGGGGCCCGCACAAGCGGUGGAUGAUGUGGAUUAAUUCGAUGCAACGCGAAAACCUUACCUACCCUUGACAUGCCAGGAACUUGCCAGAGAUGGCUCGGUGCCCGAAAGGGAACCUGGACACAGGUGCUGCAUGGCUGUCGU
rnacentral:rRNA from 1 species